CCCACAGAUGAGGAUUCAUCCCGAGAAUGUUAUAGAAUCCAUCUGAAAUUCUGUCACCGUACGACAAGCAUCCACUAACCCAGAGACGAUAAGAUACUGUUUCUGCAUCGAAGGACUCAGGCACGCCCUCCUGCAAAAGUACAAGCUCACUAGCAAGGCCAGAUUGAAAACUAAGCCUCUUAGCUAAAGCAAGCUGCNAGUAAGACUCUCUUGUCCUCUGCGCCCCCUUCUCUUCAUUCUUCUCAUCCUGCACCACCACCACCACCUCCUCCUGCACCGUAUCCUGCCUCGUGGUAUUAGUUGCAGUGUCCUUAACAUCGCUCAAAAAGUUUCCCUCCAAUGUAGUCCCCGAGAACAAUCUACCUGCAUAACUACUCCAACUCCCACUCGCCAGUCUCGGCAAGGACAACUGGCGGUCAACGUUGCAGUCAACAUCCCUCUCCUUAAUAAUCUCCGGAAUCACCUCCAGCUCCGGCGCUGCAGGUUCCGGUGUAAUCAAUAGCUGACGAUCCUCAUCAUCAGAUGAUAAACUUUGCAACUUGACGUGAGAAGCC
rnacentral:misc_RNA from 1 species